GACAGAGGAUGCAAGCGUUAUCCGGAAUGAUUGGGCGUAAAGCGUCUGUAGGUGGCUUUUUAAGUCCGCCGUCAAAUCCCAGGGCUCAACCCAGGAACUGCACUCGAAACUACUAUUCUUGAGUGUCGGAGAGGAAAGCGGAAUUCCUGGUGUAGAGGUGAAAUUCGUAGAUAUCAGGAGGAACACCAGUGGCGAAGGCGGCUUUCUGGACGAUAACUGACGCUGAGACGGCGAAAAGCGUGGGGAGCAAACAGG
rnacentral:rRNA from 1 species